rnacentral:lncRNA from 1 species
UACUUUUCUUUCCUUUAUAAACAUUUCAGCUAAUUACUUACAGCUUUAAAAGCCUCAUUUAAUCCCCAGGGCACCCUAGAGUUAGAAAUCUUUAUCUAGGUUUACUAGCUGUGGCAAAAUGCCAUUUGCGCUAAGUGAUCAGUGAGAAGUAGUCAGCUGCAUCUGAUGUCAUAAAAGAAGAAAUGUCCUAGAAACUGCCGAUCUGUUUGGUCUUAGUUCUGAAUCUCCUAUUAAAUGAAAUCACACAAUCUGGAUUUGGCUUUGAAAAAGAUUGUAAGCACCAGAUUGUUGCUUUUUGAGGUAAGGAGGAAGAUGCAUGUUAUUCUUCAUAUUGGAAAAUUAAAUGACACCAUCACAUUCUCA